rnacentral:rRNA from 1 species
UACGGAGGGUGCAAGCGUUAAUCGGAAUUACUGGGCGUAAAGCGUGCGCAGGCGGUUUGUUAAGUCCGUUGUGAAAGCCCCGAGCUCAACUUGGGAAUUGCAGUGGAUACUGGCAGGCUGGAGUACGGUAGAGGAAGGUGGAAUUCCCGGUGUAGCAGUGAAAUGCGUAGAGAUCGGGGGGAAUACCCGUGGCGAAGGCGGCCAGCUGGGCCGACCCUGACACUGAGGCGCGAAGGCGUGGGGAGCGAACGGG